GGGAUUGAAGAGCACGGCAAGGUG
rnacentral:piRNA from 1 species